GGCAAUUUGCACUACUGUUUAAUUCAAUCCUUUUCCUUAAUUUUUAAGGCAAGAAAGAGGCUAAAUGUGCAGAAUUUAAACCAGUAGAAGCAUAUUUCAAUAGAUAAUUAGUUAAAAUAUAAUAAUAUGCUUUUAAUUGCCAUAUCUCCCUCGUGCACUUUUUGUUCCAUAGAAAAGAUUGGAAUUAAAAACACAAAAAUGAAGCUAACACAUUUUCAAUAGAUAAUUAGUUAAAAU
rnacentral:misc_RNA from 1 species